rnacentral:rRNA from 1 species
CCUACGGGGGGCAGCAGUAGGGAAUAUUGCUCAAUGGGGGAAACCCUGAAGCAGCAACGCCGCGUGGAGGAUGAAGGUUUUCGGAUUGUAAACUCCUUUUGUUAGAGAAGAUAAUGACGGUAUCUAACGAAUAAGCACCGGCUAACUCCGGUCCAGCAGCCGCGGUAAUACGGAGGGUGCAAGCGUUACUCGGAAUCACUGGGCGUAAAGAGAGCGUAGGCGGGAUAUCAAGUCAGGUGUGAAAUCCUAUGGCGUAACCAUAGAACUGCAUUUGAAACUGGUAUUCUAGAGUAUGGGAGAGGUAGGUGGAAUUCUUGGUGUAGGGGUAAAAUCCGUAGAGAUCAAGAGGAAUACUCAUUGCGAAGGCGACCUGCUAGAACAUAACUGACGCUGAUGCGCGAAAGCGUGGGGAGCAAACAGGAUUAGAUACCCCAGUAGUC